UUUCAAGAUAUGACCAAUAAACUUGUCUUCAUAGUUGUCUUUGCUUGACUUUCACUCCUAUACCCUUUUCCAGAAUCGCCACAUAUAGUCAAGAAUCUCAAAACCCUCUAAAGAACAUAGUCUUGAUCCUACCAUUAAUGGCUGCUGCUGUUCCAGUUCAAAGGGUUCAAAGAAAUGAAGGUUUACCCACUUCUACUACUUCAGUUGUUCCUCAAAAGAAAUUGUCUAAUUGGUUGCCUUUGUUGGUUGGUCUUGUGGUUUUAGUUGAAAUUGCUUUUCUGGGUCGAUUAGAUAUGGCUGAAAAAGCUAAUCUUGUUAACUCGUGGGCUGAUUCAUUUUACAAGUUUACUACAACUGGUAAAGUGAGUAGUAUUAGUAGUAAUGGUGAUGAUGACCCUACUGGGUUAGUUGACUUGAGCGAUGAGGUUGAUCAAGAUUUGGUACCUGGGAGCUGUGAGGAAUGGCUGCUAAAGGAGGAUUCCAUGGAAUAUUCUAGAGAUUUUGACAAAGAUCCAAUUGUUGUUCAUGGUGGAGAUAAGGAUUGGAAGUCCUGUGCCGUGGGAUGCAAGUUCGGAGGGGAUUCUGAUAAGAAGCCUGAUGCAGCAUUUGGAACAACACAAGAGGCUGGCAAAGCUGGCGUGCUUCGGUCAAUGGAGUCAGCUCAAUACUAUCCUGAAAAUGAUGUUGCUAUGGCACGACGAAGGGGAUAUGAUAUUAUAAUGACAACAAGCCUCUCUUCAGAUGUUCCUGUUGGGUACUUCUCUUGGGCCGAGUAUGAUAUAAUGGCUCCAGUGCAACCUAAAACUGAGAAUGCAUUAGCAGCUGCUUUUAUUUCUAAUUGCGGUGCUCGCAACUUCCGGUUGCAAGCUCUUGAAGUUCUUGAAAGAGAAAUGAUCAAGAUUGAUUCUUUUGGCAGUUGUCAUCAUAAUCGGGAUGGAAAUGUGGACAAAGUGGAAACUCUCAAGCGCUUUAAAUUUAGCUUCGCUUUUGAGAAUUCUAAUGAGGAGGAUUAUGUCACUGAA
rnacentral:misc_RNA from 1 species